rnacentral:rRNA from 1 species
GUGCACCAGGCGCGAAACCUUUACCAUGCACGAAAGUGUGAUAAGGUUACCCGGAGUGCCCAGAGAAAAACUGUGGGCUGUUAUAGGUGUGUAGAUAACCCUAUGAGAAAGGAGAGGGCAAGGCUGGUGCCAGCCGCCGCGGUAAAACCCAGCUCUUCAAGUGGUCGGGACUUUUAUGGGCUUAAAGUGUCCCGUAGCCU